UGGCCAUUCUUCCUCUCCAGACCCACACCCCCCAAAUCUACAAGCCUAUCUUCCUCAGCCCGAGCUGCCUUGAUGGCGAGCUCAAUCGCCGGAUCCCACUCUCUCACCUCCCCAUCCACCGCCAACGACCACCUAGCCGAGGAGCUCCGUUUUCCCCCUAGCCGCCAGCGCCGUCGAGGAGUCGAGCAGCCCCGUCGACUUCCCCAUUCACACCCGCCGUUGACGACUCUAGGACCUGCAUCGACGAGCUGCAUCCCAGCCUUCUUCCCCCUUGACGUCCGUCGCCGACCACCAUUAGAUCU
rnacentral:lncRNA from 1 species